rnacentral:miRNA from 1 species
AGCAGAAGCCGGGUGGUUCUCCCA